UAUACGACUCUCGGCAACGGAUAUCUCGGCUCUCGCAUCGAUGAAGAACGUACCGAAAUGCGAUACUUGGUGUGAAUUGCAGAAUCCCGUGAACCAUCGAGUCUUUGAACGCAAGUUGCGCCCGAGGCCUUUCGGUUGAGGGCACGCCUGCCUGGGCGUCACGCC
rnacentral:rRNA from 1 species